CCGCCCGUCGCUCCUACCGAUUGAAUGAUCCGGUGAAGUGUUCGGAUCGCGGCGCACGUGGGUGGUUCGCCGCCUGCGACGUCACGAGAAGUCCACUAAACCUUAUCAUUUAGAGGAAGGAGAAGUCGUAACAAGGUUUCCGUAGGUGAACCUGCGGAAGGAUCAUUGUCGAUACCUGUCCAAAACAGAACGACCCGCGAACCAAAGAUCAUCACUCUCGGUGGGCCGGUUUCUUAGCUGAGAUCGUGUCUCUGCCGAAUCCGUGGUUUCGUGAACAAUCCUUACCGGGAGCUCUCUCUCUGUUUGGGUUGUGCGCGUAGCUUCCGGAUAUCACAAAACCACGGCACGAAAAGUGUCAAGGAACAUGCAUAUGAACAGCAAGCCUUMGCCUCUCCGGAGACGGUGUGCGUGCGUUUGGUGAGCUGCGAUCAAAAGUCUAAAACGACUCUCGGCAACGGAUAUCUCGGCUCUCGCAUCGAUGAAGAACGUAGCGAAAUGCGAUACUUGGUGUGAAUUGCAGAAUCCCGUGAACCAUCGAGUCUUUGAACGCAAGUUGCGCCCCAAGCCUUCUGGCCGAGGGCACGUCUGCCUGGGUGUCACAAACCGUCGUCCCUCUCAUCCUUCUCSGAUAUGGGACGGAAGCUGGUCUCCCGUGUGUUACCGCACGCGGUUGGCCAAAAUCCGAGCUAAGGGCGCCUAGAGCGUCACGACAUGCGGUGGUGAACUAAAGCCCCUUCGUAUUGUCGGUCGUUCCUGUCCGGAAACUCUCGAUGACCC
rnacentral:rRNA from 1 species